AGUGAACGCUGGCGGUAGGCCUAGCACAUGCAAGUCGAACGGCAGCACAGAGGAGCUUGCUCCUUGGGUGGCGAGUGGCGGACGGGUGAGGAAUACAUCGGAAUCUACUCUGUCGUGGGGGAUAACGUAGGGAAACUUACGCUAAUACCGCAUACGACCUACGGGUGAAAGCAGGGGACCUUCGGGCCUUGCGCGAUUGAAUGAGCCGAUGUCGGAUUAGCUAGUUGGCGGGGUAAAGGCCCACCAAGGCGACGAUCCGUAGCUGGUCUGAGAGGAUGAUCAGCCACACUGGAACUGAGACACGGUCCAGACUCCUACGGGAGGCAGCAGUGGGGAAUAUUGGACAAUGGGCGCAAGCCUGAUCCAGCCAUACCGCGUGGGUGAGGAAGGCCUUCGGGUUGUAAAGCCCUUUUGUUGGGAAAGAAAUCCAGCUGGCUAAUACCCGGUUGGGAUGACGGUACCCAAAGAAUAAGCACCGGCUAACUUCGUGCCAGCAGCCGCAGUAA
rnacentral:rRNA from 1 species